rnacentral:rRNA from 1 species
UACGGGGGGGGCAAGCGUUGUUCGGAAUUACUGGGCGUAAAGGGCGCGUAGGUGGCCAUUCAAGUCGGGUGUGAAAUCCCUCGGCUCAACCGAGGAACUGCAUUCGAUACUGCUUGGCUAGAGUCCGGGAGGGGAUGGUGGAAUUCCCAGUGUAGCGGUGAAAUGCGUAGAUAUUGGGAAGAACACCAGUGGCGAAGGCGGCUCACUGGCCCGGUACUGACGCUGAGGCGCGAAAGCGUGGGGAGCAAACAGG